AGGAAAUUGUAACUUUUGGCCCAAAGGUUUGAAUAAUUAAAUUCGAACCUAUAGUUUUUUUUUAAUAUAAUUUUGGGACCACAAUUCCAUUUUUAUAUUAUUUUUCUCUCUUCCUCUCACGUUGCUCGGCGUUUUUCUCGCAAGGGGGAUUAUUUUCUUUUUCUUCAAAUUGUGUUGACAAAGAUAGUGGUGAAAGAAGAGUUGUGAAGGGGAACUUGUUAUUCAAGACACAAGGAGCGAGUCCGGCCGAGAAAGCACCAGAGGUGUAACUAUGGUGUAUGAGACACCAUCUUUUACGUUGCCUCUUAUUUUAGAUUAUACAAUGUAUCUUGUGCCAACUUAGGACAUAUCUUUUUGUGAAGCAUGUAAACUCUAAUCCUUUUUAUUAAAAGUAUUUAUAUGAC